UACGUAGGGUGCGAGCGUUGUCCGGAAUUAUUAGGCGUAAAGAGCUCGUAGGCGGUGUGUCACGUCGGCCGUGAAAACCUGCAGCUUAACUGUGGGCGUGCGGUCGAUACGGGCAUCACUGGAGUUCGGCAGGGGAGACUGGAAUUCCUGGUGUAGCGGUGAAAUGCGCAGAUAUCAGGAGGAACACCGGUGGCGAAGGCGGGUCUCUGGGCCGAUACUGACGCUGAGGAGCGAAAGCGUGGGGAGCAAACAGG
rnacentral:rRNA from 1 species